GUGGGGAAUAUUGGACAAUGGGCGCAAGCCUGAUCCAGCCAUGCCGCGUGAGUGAUGAAGGCCCUAGGGUUGUAAAGCUCUUUCACCGGAGAAGAUAAUGACGGUAUCCGGAGAAGAAGCCCCGGCUAACUUCGUGCCAGCAGCCGCGGUAAUACGAAGGGGGCUAGCGUUGUUCGGAAUUACUGGGCGUAAAGCGCACGUAGGCGGACAUUUAAGUCAGGGGUGAAAUCCCGGGGCUCAACCCCGGAACUGCCUUUGAUACUGGGUGUCUGGAGUAUGGAAGAGGUAAGUGGAAUUCCGAGUGUAGAGGUGAAAUUCGUAGAUAUUCGGAGGAACACCAGUGGCGAAGGCGGCUCACUGGUCCAUUACUGACGCUGAGGUGCGAAAGCGUGGGGAGCAAACAGGAUUAGAAACCCGAGUAGUCC
rnacentral:rRNA from 1 species